AGUGAACGCUGGCGGUAGGCCUAACACAUGCAAGUCGAACGGCAGCACAGUAAGAGCUUGCUCUUACGGGUGGCGAGUGGCGGACGGGUGAGGAAUACAUCGGAAUCUACUUUUUCGUGGGGGAUAACGUAGGGGAACUUACGCUAAUACCGCAUACGACCUACGGGUGAAAGCAGGGGAUCUUCGGACCUUGCGCGAUUGAAUGAGCCGAUGUCGGAUUAGCUAGUUGGCGGGGUAAAGGCCCACCAAGGCGACGAUCCGUAGCUGGUCUGAGAGGAUGAUCAGCCACACUGGAACUGAGACACGGUCCAGACUCCUACGGGGGGCAGCAGUGGGGAAUAUUGGACAAUGGGCGCAAGCCUGAUCCAGCCAUACCGCGUGGGUGAAGAAGGCCUUCGGGUUGUAAAGCCCUUUUGUUGGGAAAGAAAAGCAGCAGGUUAAUACCCCGCUGUUCUGACGGUACCCAAAGAAUAAGCACCGGCUAACUUCGUG
rnacentral:rRNA from 1 species